rnacentral:lncRNA from 1 species
GUAAUUUUGAAAUUGUCAGACGCCGUUCCAAUACUUCCAGAAAACAUGCAGUUUAACCCAUUAACGUACAUUCUUUCCUUUGGCACUCAAGAAUGCAGGAUUGGCAUGGAACAAGACUUCCUGUUUGUCGACAAAGACGAUAUAGACGCGCCACAUUCAAAACAUUCAGGAAAGAUGGCACGAUUAGAACGCGCAUCAAACAUGUGGGAAGUGUGUACGUUUAUGGCCAGCUAUUAUCUGAAUAUACAAGGUGUCCCAAAAAUGUAUACACUGUUUAACGGGUCAUAACUCAGUUUUUAUUCACAUAUAAUUAAUAUUUAAAUUGCAAAAGAAUGGUCCAAUUAAUCCUUUUCUG